rnacentral:rRNA from 1 species
UUGAACGCUGGCGGCAUGCCUUACACAUGCAAGUCGAACGGUAACAGGUCUUCGGAUGCUGACGAGUGGCGAACGGGUGAGUAAUACAUCGGAACGUGCCUAGUAGUGGGGGAUAACUACUCGAAAGAGUAGCUAAUACCGCAUGAGAUCUACGGAUGAAAGCAGGGGACCUUCGGGCCUUGUGCUACUAGAGCGGCCGAUGGCGGAUUAGGUAGUUGGUGGGAUAAAAGCUUACCAAGCCGACGAUCUGUAGCGGGUCUGAGAGGACGACCGGCCACACUGGGACUGAGACACGGCCCAGACUCCUACGGGAGGCAGCAGUGGGGAAUUUUGGACAAUGGGCGAAAGCCUGAUCCAGCAAUGCCGCGUGCAGGAUGAAGGCCUUCGGGUUGUAAACUGCUUUUGUACGGAACGAAAAAGCUCCUUCUAAUACAGGGGGCCCAUGACGGUACCGUAAGAAUAAGCACCGGCUAACUACGUGCCAGCCGCCGCAGUAAGAC